rfam:Gossypium hirsutum cultivar TM-1 unplaced genomic scaffold scaffold246.1, whole genome shotgun sequence
UUUUAAAAAAUUCAUCUAUUUUUACUAUUAAAAAUUAGUGUGGCUAACAGAAUAAUCAUUUAGCUUUUUAAUAGUAGAAACGGAUGAAAUUUUUAAUA